UUGGAUCUGUGUCCCGCACCGCCGGUUCACCGCCUGUCGGUGUUCAACUGGCGUGUAUGCGGGACGUCCUGCCGGUGGCGGUCCGGUUCCCCGUGGGUACGUAGGGGCGUCCUUGCGCACGCUUGCGUCGUCUCCGAAGGCCUGCGUGGUGUAUCCGGCCGCCUUUUCAAUCCCGUCGCGGUGCUCUUCACCGAGUGUCGAGGCGGGCCGGCACGUUUACUUUGAACAAAUUAGAGUGCUUUAAGCAGGCCCUGUCCCGCCUGUAUGUUGUGUGCAUGGAAUAAUGGAAUAGGACCUCGGUUCUAUUUUGUUGGUUUUCGGAAUCUGAGGUAAUGAUCAAUGGGGACAGGCGGGGGCAUUCGUAUUGCGACGUUAGAGGUGAAAUUCUUGGAUCGUCGCAAGACGGACCGAAGCGAAAGCAUUUGCCAAGUAUGUUCUCGUCGAUCAAGAACGAAAGUUAGAGGUUCGAAGGCGAUCAGAUACCGCCCUAGUUCUAACCAUAAACUAUGCCUGCCAGCGAUCCGCCGAAGUUCCUCCGAUGACUCGGCGGGCAGCUUCCGGGAAACCAGAGCUUUUGGGUUCCGGGGGAAGUAUGGUUGCAAAGCUGAAACUUAAAGGAAUUGACGGAAGGGCACCACCAGGAGUGGAGCCUGCGGCUUAAUUUGACUCAACACGGGAAAACUCACCAGGCCCGGACACCGGAAGGAUUGACAGAUUGAGAGCUCUUUCUUGAUUCGGUGGGUGGUGGUGCAUGGCCGUUCUUAGUUGGUGGAGCGAUUUGUCUGGUUAAUUCCGAUAACGAACGAGACUCUAGCCUACUAACUAGGCGUACCCGGUAUCCACAAUCGUGCUACCGGCGUUUUAAUUUCUUCUUAGGGGGACAGGCGGCGUCUAGCCGCAAGAGACUGAGCAAUAACAGGUCUGUGAUGCCCUUAGAUGUCCUGGGCCGCACGCGCGCUACACUGAAGGAAUCAGCGUGUCUUCCCUGUCCGAAAGGACCGGGUAACCCGCUGAACCUCCUUUGUGCUAGGGAUUGGGGCUUGCAAUUGUUCCCCAUGAACGAGGAAUUCCCAGUAAGCGCGAGUCAUAAGCUCGCGUUGAUUACGUCCCUGCCCUUUGUACACACCGCCCGUCGCUACUACCGAUUGAAUGAUUUAGUGAGGUCUUCGGACUGGUGCGCGGGGGCCGCUUCCACGGUCACCGAUGUUGCUGGAAAGAUGACCAAACUUGAUCAUUU
rnacentral:rRNA from 1 species